AACAAGCCCCAGUCCUACACCCCGUGUAAGAAGCCCCUUACCACUGGAGGGAAAGUUUCUGUGUAAGUGUGGGGGAGCAAGAGCUCCCAGUUGGUCUGCUUUUUAAACCCGGCAGGCAGUGGUUACACCCGUCAGCAGCCUGGCAGCCCAGAAGGAAGCAAACUCUUCUGCAGACAACCUACCACUUCGAGGGAAACUUUGAAAGUUAACCUCUCCUUUCCGAAGGAGGUUUUCAGAGGCUGGAUGGUAAUAUCAAGGCCUUUCGCAAAGCUGCACGGACCAACUGCUCCUCCUCAGAUUAUGGCUUUCAGAGCUCAGGCGCUACCCCUCAUCAGGUUACACUUUCCAUGUUUUGUGGUCAGGGGCAGGCUGUGUCAUUCUACGUGGCUCCACCUUGCAAGGAAAUAUUUAUAUAUUGGCCUUGCCAGGUUCCUGUUUCCUCUGGGAUUGCUCCUGAGUUUGCGGUCUUCAUCCCGGGGCGGGCAGUGACUCACUGGCCUUCACAGGACCACUGGACACCAGGCAGAAAACAGGAAGCUGACUUGGCUUGGCCGGAAAACUGUGAGAAUAUUUUUUGUCCCUCGAUGCUGGGGCUGUUGUUUCAUUGGUGGUUCUGCCACUGCUACGGUUUCUUCAGAGCCUUGUCUACACCAGCAACACCCAAGGUUUGUGAAGUGCCCUUUAUCUAGCACAGUGUCACAGGGCCAUGGCCCCUGGUGUGCCCAAGCCCAGCAUCUCCAUCAGAUAUAGUUUUGACAUCUUCACUGUGAGGCCUCGUCCACACCCACAGACUUUCAAGCAGGGUUUGCUGCUCAGCUGAUGACCUUUGUCUGGAUGAAAAGGAAAUCACUACGGCAGAAAUGAAAGGAGGCACAUUGGGGUCUUGUAGGCCAUAUUGCCGGAACAAGAGGAGUCAUCACUUAUGGACGAGACGUUGUUUCAUCCCUAGGACAUGGGCAGCAGUUUCUAGAGCAGUCGGAACCCAGCUCUUUGCCUACAUAGCAGAGGUGGGUGUAUCCAACCCCAGGUGCUGGACUUGGUGGCAGCUGGAUCUCACUUCACACAGUGCUGGGCACAACGUGCAUCCUCGCGACACAAGGAACAAGGCUAAGAAAGUAGACCUUCUUCAUUGGGCAUGUUUCCCCCUUCAUCACCUGGGCUUUUGCCCACGACUAUCUACAAACAAGAGAUUCCGUCAGAGCAGAAGUGGGAUCAGACUAUUUUCAUAAGUUUCAACCUCCAAGCCAGUCGCCAAGGGGGUUAAAUGCUUUCUCUAUGGAGCAGGAAAGGCAAGUCUCCCUUGAAGGAAAAAGCAAGAUCGUUUCACGUGAAAGACAGGAACAGGGUAAGAACUGAACCCAAAAAGGAAUCACUCUGUAUAUGAGACACUUGCCUUUCGUGAGGUACUAAGGACAGCUUUGUGGCUCCUAAGGACAGAGAGGAGUCACUGUAGAAGUCUAUCUCUUAGUCAGGCUUGAAGUAUCAAAGGAAAAAUUAUCUUUCUAGUUUGAAUCUCGAAAAUUUAGGACCCGUCAAUGAAAGGAGGAGCAAAUGGCUUUUCAACCACAAGAGAAUUCUGCUGAUUCAUAUUCUUUUCUUGUCUUUAUUCUGAUGCCCCCCCCCUGCUCUUUUUAUUUCCCUCUGAAUUUGUAUUAAAUUCGUUACAUGCUCUUAAGGGAGAGGGGUCUAAUUGAGGUGUAAGAUGCGAUGAAUAAAAAAGAAAAAUAGGGAGGGGGGUAGGAAGUCACUGUCGCUUCACUGAACUAGACUGUAGCUCAUGUUAAGUGCCAUUCCCUCUUUCAGAGAAAAAGAUAGCCUUCUCCUCCAGGAAGCUCUGUGUCUCAAAGGCCUUUAUUAACGUGAUCUUUGGGAAUAGUGUUUUAAUUUUUUUCCAUAAUCAUCAUGCAAAUUGAUCAUGAUAAUCUCUGGAAAUGAAAAGGAGGGAACCAAUGGCCUCAUUAACUCCAACACUGGGAGCACGCACACUCCUACGAGCCGGGGCCACGAUCCCCCCAGUGGCUCAGGUCUUCUAUGUGUGUGACUUGGUCCAGUCCCCAAUGCAGGCUGUGGCUUGUUCCCUGCCUCACUUGUUUAAAUUGCUUCAUGCAUCUGACUCCAUCACAAAAUAAUGGGACAUCAUUUGAAAGGUCCCAACCUUACGAUAGAAACAUUUAUGUUCUGCGAGAUUCCAACCAGAAUUCUAACUCUCCUAUGACAGAACCACGCCAUCCAUGCACGGGUUGUAUCUGGACCUUAUCUUAAAGACACUGUGGGCUCAAAUUUCUAAACUUUGGACAAUCAAUUGAGCCAGCACCAAAAUGUGUGGCUUCAGAUGCAUACUUCUGAGUGCUGUUCUGCUGAAUUAAGAGGGCUUUUUCUUUUCUUUUUUUUUAAGAGUAUAUUUUAAUUUUAAUUUAACAUGGAGAAUGACAGAGACAAAUAGAUCUGUCCCUAGUACACUGAGUAACAGAGUUUUGAGCUGGUUAUUAAUUUCAUGUAAGUGGAUCCUCUUUUUAUUUCUAUAAACUGCAAAAUCCAGGAAAAGCAGAAUCAAAUAUGAUAUAUGCUUAUUGAUUGCCCCGUAUGUGCCGAGCAAGGUUAAAUGGUUUCAAAUGCCGACUCAUCUGACAGAUGAGGAUAAGGCUGGGUGAAGAAGUGAAAUAACAUGUCCAGCUGGGAAGGGGCAGAGUCAUUGACAGAUCUGCCUCAUCGUCUAAAAGGAUUUGAUGCAACUCUUUGGAAAUCCACUUCCUCAGAGCCAUGCAGAGCCAGAUUGUUUCUCAGUGGAUCGUGUCCUGCCAGUGAGCAGUAAGGAAGUUACCCUAACUCUUGGAGCCUUUGGGUACCAUAUACUUCUGGGCAAGGACGUGCAUUCCAUGGGCAUCCAACACUGUGCCUUGUGCACACCGGUGCCUUCCACUGAUUAGUGAUAUCUAGGGCUGAGCAGUAUAUCUCUUCCUCUUUUGGAGAAGGCUGUCCUCUCCUAGUGAGGUACAGAUGCAGAGGUUGCUCAGGAGGUUGGGCGCAUGGGGGAAUAACCACACAGCUAGGUAGAUGAGAUGACCGAAUCUAGCCACUUGAGUUAGAGCAGGGCCUUUGGUACCUCUCCUGUGGGAGAUAAAAUCCCUUUAUCUCAGCUGUAACCCCUCCAGACUGAGUGUUCUUUCAAGUUGAUUUGACUGGUCUUGAGAAAUUUUAUGACAAAUAUGCAUUGACGCCUGCUAUCUCUAAGGUAUUGAAUUAGAAUACAGUGAAAUAUACCUGCAAUCAACAUUUGGUGAGUUUCUAUGAUAUGUUAGAUUCUCUGGAAGCAAAUUUUAAAGGGCCUAAGAAAAGGUGAGCCUGUGAAUGAAUGCAUGCAGUAUUAGAACGAAGAUUCAUAGAGGAACAGCACGGAAGAAUGACUUGAGCAGAGUGUUAAGAGAAGUGCUAACAUUUGAGCUGGGUCUUGAAGUUGUUGGUAAGAGGUCUUUAGAUGGAAAAAUUGGAGGAAAUACAUUUUGUUUUGUAGGGGCUUCAUGUUUAACUUGACAAAAUGAGGGUGUGAUUGCCUCAGGAAUGGCCCUGAACGUAAUUGGUUGAGGAAGGUGGUGAAUAAUGGAGAUGAGCUGGCGCCACAGUGAAUUUAUGUGGUAAGAUGGUAUUUUCUCAAGCUAUGCUUAGAACACUGGUUCCUUGAUAUGUUAAUUGGCAUUGUCUAUGAAAACAGGGGGGUUUAAGGCCAAAAAAAAUGUAGGGAACACUGGAGUAGGCUGUUGGUUGGGGUUCUUUCCUGCAGGACUUCUCAGGGCUUUUGAUAUAUGAUUCUGCCUUAUACAUUUCCAAGAGCUUGUCUUAAACCUAUUUUUGUCUUUCCCUAUUCGCAUUGCUUUCAGGGUACCAUGGAUCUCACAGUGGCAAAUACUUUUUUAAGGCAGGAGCAGCUGUCAGCAGUCUUCAAGAAAUGAAUGGCUUCUGUUUUAGAAACUUGGGGCACCCGGGAAGGUGACCUGUAACCAAGUCGUUAAAAUCUUCUGGGCAAAAGAAAAUAAGGGUCAGAAUCAAGGCACUGAAGUUGUAAAGGAGGGAAUGGAAUUGAAAGGCAGUUAGCAGGUGGAAUGGAUACUCUGUGACCAAAUGGGGGCGAAUGAAGAAACGUACUUGAGGGUUACUCCCUGGGAUCUAGUGGGUAAGCUCAGGCAAUGAAGAGAGAGUUUGAGUAGAAGAUGAAAAAGUCGAUUCAUUUUGGGAUGGGAUAUAAUUGUGGUUUCUCUAAGACCAACAGAGAGCAUUUAUGAACUCAUUCAAGAGCUGGAGAUAUUAAUCUGGAGCUGAAGAUGUACACAGACAUAAUUUUAUCUAUGAUGCUUUGGAUGAUUAUUAUCUAGCCAUGUCUUUAGGGGUCACCGUAAUUAACAUUAAGUGUUGCUUGACCAUAAAUGUAUAGAAAUGCAGGUUGUAGAGGGCUGUGUUUAAUAGAAACCCAACAACAAGCCAUUAACUAGAUUUACUAAUAGGCACCUUGUCUAGGAACAGAGCAUAGGGAAAAACAAGCAAGCAAACAAACAAACAAACAAACAAAUAUAUAAAUAAAUAUGUAAAGAAAAAAAAGAAAAAGAAAGACAAUCUUUGUUCAAGGAGCUUAUUAUCUUUAGCCUUUAGAAGAUAUGACAAGUGGCCAGAUUACCGUGUUAGGAUCAUGGACCUUGCACUUGGUAUAUAACCUUGGGCAAGUUAGAUAAUGUUUUAUUUAUUUAUUUUUAAUUUUUUAAUGUUUUAUUUUUUUCUGAGAGAG